UACGAAGGGAGCUAGCGUUGUUCGGAAUUACUGGGCGUAAAGAGCGCGUAGGCGGUCUGUAAAGUUAGGAGUGAAAGCCCAAGGCUUAACCUUGGAACUGCUCUUAAAACUCACAGACUAGAGAUUGGUAGAGGAUGGUGGAAUUCCUAGUGUAGAGGUGAAAUUCGUAGAUAUUAGGAGGAACACCGGUGGCGAAGGCGGCCAUCUGGGCCAAUACUGACGCUGAGGCGCGAAAGCGUGGGGAGCAAACAGG
rnacentral:rRNA from 1 species